AGUGAACGCUGGCGGUAGGCCUAACACAUGCAAGUCGAACGGCAGCACAGUAAGAGCUUGCUCUUACGGGUGGCGAGUGGCGGACGGGUGAGGAAUACAUCGGAAUCUACUUUUUCGUGGGGGAUAACGUAGGGAAACUUACGCUAAUACCGCAUACGACCUACGGGUGAAAGCAGGGGAUCUUCGGACCUUGCGCGAUUGAAUGAGCCGAUGUCGGAUUAGCUAGUUGGCGGGGUAAAGGCCCACCAAGGCGACGGUCCGUAGCUGGUCUGAGAGGAUGAUCAGCCACACUGGAACUGAGACAAGGUCCAGACUCCUACGGGAGGCAGCAGUGGGGAAUAUUGGACAAUGGGCGCAAGCAUGAUCCAGCAAUACCGCGUGGGUGAAGAAGGACUUCGGGUUGUAAAGCCCUUUUGUUGGGAAAGAAAAGCAGCAGGUUAAUACCCCGCUGUUCUGACGGUACCCAAAGAAUAAGCACCGGCUAACUUCGUG
rnacentral:rRNA from 1 species